CCUACGGGUGGCUGCAGUGGGGAAUAUUGGGCAAUGGGCGAAAGCCUGACCCAGCAACGCCGCGUGAAGGAAGAAGGUCUUCGGAUUGUAAACUUUUGUCUUAUGGGACGAUAAUGACGGUACCAUAGGAGGAAGCCACGACUAACUACGUGCCAGCAGUCGCGGUAAUACGUAGGUGGCAAGCGUUAUCCGGAAUUAUUGGGUGUAAAGGGUGCGUAGGCGGGGUGUAAAGUCAGGUGUGAAAUCUGAGAGCUCAACUCUCAGACUGCAUUUGAAACUUACACUCUUGAGUGAAGUAGAGGCAAGCGGAAUUCCCAGUGUAGCGGUGAAAUGCGUAGAUAUUGGGAGGAACACCAGUGGCGAAGGCGGCUUGCUGGGCUUUUACUGACGCUGAGGCACGAAAGUGUGGGGAGCAAACAGGAUUAGAUACCCCAGUAGUC
rnacentral:rRNA from 2 species